AUUCCAGCUCCAAUAGCGUAUAUUAAAGUUGUUGCAGUUAAAAAGCUCAUAGUUGAAUUUCUGUACAGUCCCGGUUCUGGCUUCGGUCAAGCCGUGGAUUGUGCAUCCGCUUGCAAAUCUAGCUCGGCCUUCACUGGUCGAUUAGGGGAGUAAGCCCUUUACUUUGAAAAAAUUAGAGUGUUUCAGGCAGGCAAUGGCUCGAAUACAUUAGCAUGGAAUAAUGGAAUAGGACUUUUGUCCAUUUGGUUGGUUAUUGGACAUGAGUAAUGAUUAAAAGGGACAGUUGGGGGCAUUAGUAUUUAAUAGUCAGAGGUGAAAUUCUUGGAUUUAUUAAAGACUAACUUAUGCGAAAGCAUUUGCCAAGGAUGUUUUCAUCA
rnacentral:rRNA from 1 species